CGCCUGCCUUGCGAGCUGGCUCUCACCUCUCCCACGGGCGUGCGCGUGACCGUGUCUCGGCUGCGCGGUGUCUUCCGAAGCACGGGGCCGUUUUAAGUCGAUGAUGUCGUCAACCUUGUCACGGGCGGCUGGUGCUCUCGGGGCUCAUGUUUACGGAGGCUUUUCCCUACCGCGGGGUCGUUCAGACGGUCCCCUGCACGGUCCCUGGAUGUCUCCUCACGCAGGCCUCGCGUCCACCCAGCCUGGUCGCUGUGCGAGGCGGAGACAAAUUGAACUUCUGCGUGGGCCUCCGUGCCAGCGAAGCCGAGCUUCCCUCAGAGAGCUGCGGGGCCAGCUCCCCGGGCCACACGCGUGGCGUCCCGGGCCCGUGCAGGACCCGCCCUCUCACGCCUCACGGUGUCCUGUUCCCUGCACCUGCGCCUGCCACUCCACCCCCGGCGGGGAGAAGGUUCUAGAGACUGCGCCCCUGUUGGCUCCGCACGCACGUCUGCCCCGCUCUGGGCUUUCUGUUCCCCACGUCCCUUUCCGAAUCCGCUGGUGAAGUCGGUCUCUCCGUCCCCGUGUUGUCAGCUUCCCCGCCCCCGGGAUGUUGUCGGCGUGGAUCUGAAUCUACAGAUAAAUCUAGGGAAACCGUCACCUUUGCGAUGGCGUCCCGUCCACUCCGGGCCGACGGCGUGGCCGCGUGCACAUGGGCAUCGGAAUUCCUCAGGUUGGGCUACAGCGUCCCCAUCACUGGAUUCCAUUCCUUGUAUUCAUUCUUUCUCUUUAAUAUUUUAUUUAUGCAUUUAUCCAUGAGACACAGCGAGAGGCAGAGACCCAGGCAGAGGGAGAAGCAGGCUCCCUGCAGGGGACCCUGAUGCGGGACUCGAUCCCGGGACCCGGGGGUCACACCCUGGGCCCCCGGCGGCCCCUCCUUGUAUCUAUUCUGAUGUGGCUCCUGCUUCGAUGUUCACUGUGAUGCAGGUUUCUGGUGUUUGUCUUCCUUUCUGCCGUCAGGACCUGAAACGGUGGGUUCAGUCUUGCGCCCAGGGAACCUCCCACAUCCGCCCUCGUGCUGACCAUGUGCCUCCGCGCUCGGUGCCCCGCCUGCAAGCUCUAAGGCUUCGAAUUUACCUUUGGCGCCAUCACAUCUUUUCUGUGUCCAUGAAGAGAAGACGGUCCCGCGUGGCGCUGUGUGACCUCACGAUGCCACUGACCCCAGGACCCUUGAGAUCCCUGCCCCUUGCUGCCAUGGCCUGCCCAACAGAGCCCCCCACCCCGCCCCCGGGGACCCAGUAGGGGCUCGAACCCCUGGCGCGGGGAGGCCGUCACCCCGGGCCCGUCCAGAGCGCCCGCUCCCCCGGCGCACGGCGCGCCUCUUCCCUGGCGGGCGGUUAUUACUGUCCUGCCGCGUGACAUCAUAAUAGGCUGCUGUCCCGGAACACAAAAGCCCUCGGAGACGUCUGCUUAAAUCACGCCCUGCGUGCGCGCGGGCAAGAGUGGAUUCCUACAAACCCAGGGAAAUGCCCCGCAGGGCUCCGGAGUCUGCUGCCUGCCUCAGGUCCUCUCAGGGACCCUGGACGGGGCGUCAAGACCCCACGCGGACCAGACGCAGGAUGUUGGGGACAGCUCGAGCCCCCCCGCCCGGAGACCAACGAGGGGCACCGCGCAAACCAGGAUGUGCCAGGAUGUGCCAGGAUCACACAGCCCCAGGCUGGGGUCUCUGCACGCUUGAUAUUUUCACCACAAUUUUGAACAAAAUAAACCUAAGGGUUGCUUUACUCCCACAAAACACGAAGAGGCCACACAGAGGAAUAAACCAGGGAGCUCAGCCCGACGCCGCUCGCCGGGCCUGCCCUGCCCCUGGCGGUGUCCCGCGCUGGGUGCCCGCAGGCCCUCCCCGGGGUGACGGCAUUGCUUCCCGCUGAAGACGGCGCUUCUCAUUCCCGCCCGAAGAAGCAACCUGCACCGCGCAGGGGAUUUCUCUGACCAAGAAAGAGAAACAAAAGGAGCAGCGGGCGGGGGCGGCACCGGGGGCUCAGCCUGUGACCGGCGACCGCGCCCUGUCCCAGCAGGUGCCACCCGGGGUGCUGGGGACGCCCAGAGUCAUGGGAGCCGAGGGGCCCCGGACCCGAGCCUGCCAGAGGCCGCCGGGCAAUGCCCACGCGUGCUGAGCGGCGACCCCCGCUUAAAGAUGCACCUGGUACUUAGGCCUAAUUUAUUCUCUUUAUUAAAAAUGAUAUCAAACAAUAUUUCAUUCUGCCCUGGGACCCCUGGGUGGCUCAGCGGUUUGGCGCCUGCCUUUGGCCCAGGGCGCGAUCCUGGAGACCCGGGAUCGGGUCCCACGUCGGGCUCCCGGUGCAUGGGGCCUGCUUCUCCCUCUGCCUG